rnacentral:lncRNA from 1 species
CCUUAAUUGCCACAUCCCAUGAAUACUUGUAUGCCUAAUAUGUCACUCUCUAGAUCUUCAAUAAGGUGACGCUAGAUAAAAUAAGGGAGGGAGGAGGAAAUGUAGUGUGGUAGGUCUUGUUUGAAUGGACUGGGUUGUGAGGGUGGAUAAGAUUGGCAUUGCUUUUAAGAUCUCGGUCAACAUGGGUUGGGAUUGUGGGGUGGGUUGGGGUUGCAAUCUGAGUCGUUUUGUAGUGGUAAUCAUGGACAAAGUGUCGGGGUGGAGGAUGGAAGAGAUUAAAGAGAAUUUUGGUUUGGG